rnacentral:rRNA from 1 species
UAGGGAAUAUUGGACAAUGGAGGCAACUCUGAUCCAGCCAUCCCGCGUGAAGGAUGAAGGUCCUAUGGAUUGUAAACUUCUUUUCUUUGGGAAUAAAAACUUCGAUUUAUCGAAGCUUGAAGGUACCAAAGGAAUAAGCACCGGCUAACUCCGUGCCAGCAGCCGCGGUAAUACGGAGGGUGCAAGCGUUAUCCGGAUUCACUGGGUUUAAAGGGUGCGUAGGAGGUUUUGUAAGUCAGUGGUGAAAGC